rnacentral:rRNA from 1 species
UACGUAGGGUGCAAGCGUUGUCCGGAAUUAUUGGGCGUAAAGAGCUCGUAGGCGGUCUGUCGCGUCGGCUGUGAAAACCCGGAGCUCAACUCCGGGCCUGCAGUCGAUACGGGCAGACUGGAGUUCGGCAGGGGAGACUGGAAUUCCUGGUGUAGCGGUGAAAUGCGCAGAUAUCAGGAGGAACACCGGUGGCGAAGGCGGGUCUCUGGGACGGUACUGACGCUGAGACGCGAAAGCGUGGGGAGCGAACAGG